rnacentral:rRNA from 1 species
AUUGAACGCUGGCGGCAUGCUUUACACAUGCAAGUCGAACGGUAACAGGCCGCAAGGUGCUGACGAGUGGCGAACGGGUGAGUAAUGCAUCGGAACGUGCCCAGUCGUGGGGGAUAACGCAGCGAAAGCUGCGCUAAUACCGCAUACGAUCUAUGGAUGAAAGCGGGGGACCGAAAGGCCUCGCGCGAUUGGAGCGGCCGAUGUCAGAUUAGGUAGUUGGUGGGGUAAAGGCCCACCAAGCCAACGAUCUGUAGCUGGUCUGAGAGGACGACCAGCCACACUGGGACUGAGACACGGCCCAGACUCCUACGGGAGGCAGCAGUGGGGAAUUUUGGACAAUGGGCGCAAGCCUGAUCCAGCAAUGCCGCGUGCAGGAAGAAGGCCUUCGGGUUGUAAACUGCUUUUGUACGGAACGAAACGGUCCGGGUUAAUACCCUGGGCUAAUGACGGUACCGUAAGAAUAAGCACCGGCUAACUACGUGCCAGCCGCCGCCGUAACAC